GACGAACGCUGGCGGUGUGCUUAAUACAUGCAAGUCGAACGAAGAGGCCCUUUCGGGGGUACUUCAGUGGCGGACGGCUGAGUAAUACAUAGGUAACGUGCCCUUUACUGGGGGAUAACACCGGGAAACUGGUGCUAAUACCGCAUAAGUGCCAGGUUGCAAUACCUGUCAUUAAAGAAUUUCGGUAAAGGAUCGGCCUGUGUCGGAUUAGCUUGUUGGUAGGGUAAUGGCCUACCAAGGCGACGACCGUAGUUGGUCUGAGAGGAUGACCAGCCAGAGUGGGACUGAGAACGGCCCACACUCCUACGGGA
rnacentral:rRNA from 1 species